UGAGACUGUAGUUCAAUUGGUUAGAGCACCGCCCUGUCAAGGCGGAAGUCACGGGUUCGAAUCCCGCCAGUCUCGUCC
rnacentral:tRNA from 1 species